UACGUAGGGUGCAAGCGUUAAUCGGAAUUACUGGGCGUAAAGCGUGCGCAGGCGGCUAUGCAAGACAGAUGUGAAAUCCCCGGGCUCAACCUGGGAACUGCAUUUGUGACUGCAUAGCUAGAGUACGGUAGAGGGGGAUGGAAUUCCGCGUGUAGCAGUGAAAUGCGUAGAUAUGCGGAGGAACACCGAUGGCGAAGGCAAUCCCCUGGACCUGUACUGACGCUCAUGCACGAAAGCGUGGGGAGCAAACGAGG
rnacentral:rRNA from 1 species